rnacentral:rRNA from 1 species
AACGUAGGGGCGAGCGUUGUCCGGAAUUACUGGGCGUAAAGGGCGCGUAGGUGGUUAUCCAAGUCAGGGGUGAAAACUCUGGGCUCAACCCAGAGCGUGCCUUUGAAACUGGGUAACUUGAGGGCAGGAGAGGGGAGUGGAAUUCCCAGUGUAGCGGUGAAAUGCGUAGAUAUUGGGAGGAACACCAGUGCGAAGGCGGCUCUCUGGCCUAACCCUGACGCUGAGGCGCGAAAGCGUGGGGAUCAAACAGGAUUAGAUACCCUGGUAGUCCCUGAGCGGGCU